rnacentral:rRNA from 1 species
GUGGGGAAUAUUGGACAAUGGGGGGAACCCUGAUCCAGCCAUGCCGCGUGGAGGAAGACUGCCCUCUGGGUUGUAAACUCCUUUUAUAUGGGAAGAACCGUCCUCAUUAAUGAGUGACCUGACGGUACCAUAGGAAUAAGCACCGGCUAACUCCGUGCCAGCAGCCGCGGUAAUACGGAGGGUGCAAGCGUUAUCCGGAUUCACUGGGUUUAAAGGGUGCGUAGGCGGAUAAAUAAGUCAGUGGUGAAAUCAACGGGCUCAACCUGUUAACUGCCAUUGAUACUGUGUAUCUUGAAUAUGAGAGAGGUAGGCGGAAUGUUGCAUGUAGCGGUGAAAUGCUUAGAUAUGCUACGGAACACCGAUUGCGAAGGCAGCUUACUAUUUCGUAAUUGACGCUGAGGCACGAAAGCGUGGGUAGCGAACAGGAUUAGAUACCCCUGUAGUCC